GAUCUCCCGGAAUUAGAAGAGCGUCGUCUCCUAUAACAGCCUCAACUAGAUCCGCUAUGUUCCACCUCUCGGGUACGUCCCUACCGCUGAGUCGAAGCAACUCUGCGCUAUUUUUGCAGAUGUCGCGAAAUAACUGAGUUAACUCCGGUGGAGCGCUGCUGUUGCCUGCGCGUAGGGCCGUCCCCCACUCCCGUCCCGGGGCGCUAAGGGGCUUUUGUUUUUGGAACAGACGGCAGUGUUUUGCUGACGCCUCGAAUCAAGCUUUUAUUGCGACAUGCUAUGCUUUCUCCCCCAUUGCUAGUAGGUUGAUGGGUCGCGCGCCCGGCACACAUGUUUUGGCCUUGUGUGUCCAUAACUCAAAAUAGGUGACCUAACGGCCGCCGGUACGGGACUAAGGGACUGUGGGAAUAGCGAUAGACCGGAUUCAAAGAUAUAGGCCAAUCAAAACAAAAGGAAGAUGGUGAAAGACCACCACAAAGAGACCCUCGCUCACGCCUUAGUCUUAUUCGAAAACAAAAGCGGAUGGACCUUCCUCAAGAAAAAAGCCAAUCUGAUUUCGGGGGGCAUGUAGGCGGAGAAAGGCUGGGAAACUAUAAGGUCUCGUAGGAAAAAGACAAAACGUAGGUAGGCUGCC
rnacentral:lncRNA from 1 species